UAUGAACGCGUUUUUGUCAUU
rnacentral:piRNA from 1 species